rnacentral:snoRNA from 1 species
GAACAGUGACUAAACAUGCAAUGGUUGCAAACAGCAGCCUCCUUGGUAAUGUAGGUGGCCUGUUGCCUAAGGGGUCUUGGAGACAGUC